ACCCGCCGGCUGCGCGGUCUCGGCCGCGGUGGCGGCGGCGACGGCGGCGACCCCCGCCUGGGUCAUGAUCCCAGGAGGGGAAGGCAGGAGUGUCUGACCGUCUGGGCGAAUCUCUCCGUCCGCGGCCACCGCCUGCUCCUCCGGGGCUGGGGGAGCGCGGGCCCAGGCCCUCCUCUCCCCCCGCCCCCGCCGCCUCUUUUUGCGGCCACCGCAGCCGCUGCGAGCCCGAGCCCUCAAGGCCGGAGACCCGGCGGCAGCGCGGCCUCAACUUUCCCAGCCCCCCUCCCCCCGCCCCUCCCCGCCCCUCCCGCGGCCGCAGCUCAGCAAGCGAACAGCCUACCCUGGGCGCGCCGCGUUCCCGCCUCUUUCACUCAACCCGCCAAUCAGGCUGCGGGAACGCUGCCGUGGUAGCCAAUAAGAAGACAGAAUGCCGUUGCACUACGCUAGAGGGCGGGAGGAGGCGGAGAGGAAACCAAGGAGUGAACGGGGAUCGGGCGGCCCAAUGAGGAGGGCCGGGGGGCGGAGGUGUGCAAGUUGGGUUGAAGAAACAGGAAAUAUUCUUAAAGGUAGAGUGACGGACAGGAAGGAAAGCCAGUAGGUGAAUGGGAAAGAGGUGGGCCUGGUUCCUUAAAGGGGACGCCUUGAGAACCUAGAAAAGAAGGUGUUUUAAGAAACUUCUUUGUAUCUUCUUCUGUGGUCUCUUUUCUUCGUCUUUCGGUAGGAGUUUGGAAGUGGAAAAAUUGAAAAGGAAGAGGGCACGGAAGUCUUUCGGAAUAGUUAGCCCCUCUUAACGUGGAGGGCAGGAAGGUGAGAAGAUACGUCUUAGUAAAUGUGGAGAAGAAAGAAUCAGACGUUUCCGACUUCUCGAUAACUGGAAGAUUGUUGCUGACUUGACGCUGCUCGCAUUCGUAGGCUGUGGUCUCUUGUCAUCCUUUAUUUGCAACAACACACAGAUUUCUGUGAAUUGGAGAUGGCCAUGUUCAGAAAUGCCCUGGGGGCCUCCCAGCUGGGACAAGGGAGUUUGGCAUUGGGGGAUGGGGUUUGAGAUCUCAAGCCUGGGUUACUAAAUACCUGGAUCUAGGAGAGGUAGGGCCAGGGGUCACGAAAUGGAGACCUGAGUGCCCCUUAACUCCAGGAUCUGUGUGGAGCCCUUGGAACCGUGAUCACAACUCCCUCUUCCUAGUUUCGCUUCAUAUUUUAUAACCUCCUGCUGAAACAGGUGUCCUCCACCUAGUUGCGGUUAUAGAUUUCCAAGCCCUUCCACAACCAGAUUUGGAAAUAUCCCAGAUCUUAGAUGUCCGUGGGCUAACUUCCAGAAGGUGCACACAGGGCAUGGCAUAAUGGGAAUUACUUGAGCCUGUAUACAGAAGCAGCAGACAUCGCAUUGAGCAAAAGGGUAAAGGCUAACAGUAACGGAGUCUUAUGUUUGUACAGCAGAUUGAAAAGCUAUGAUGAAACGGAAGGCCUGUAAUGUUGCUUAUAAACUGUGGUACUAAUAAACAGGCUAGAAAUUUUCUUUAACUCAUCCAUCUAGGCACACGAAGUUCUAAUUAGCCUUUGAACAGACUUGGCACAUCCAAAUCAAAACUGCAGAUAAGAAAGAUUCUACGAGUCAGAGCCAUAAUAGCAAUGCUAAUAACAUCACCAUAAAAUUGUAUAGUAUUGGUAUGCUCAGCCAUAGGAAACAAUUUCCAGUGUGUUCAGAAUACAAGGUAUUUCUCGUUAACAAAUAUCAUAUCCAGGGUGUGCAUGAUUUCCUAAACAACUGCAAUGCAUCAAUUCUAAAGUAAAAACAAAUAGUUUUGAUGAUUCAUGAAACAGAAUUUAACCAUUCCUUUAGAUCACCUUUAAAAAAUACACAUUAAUAUAUUUCUGGCACGAUAUAGACGUAGAAAAGAAGAACAAUUUCCGUUUGAUAAAGAUCAGAAUAUUAGCUUUUUAAAUUAAUCCUUAUUACCUAAGUGUAGCCUAAAUCCCAAACAGGGAUUUUUCUCUUUUCUUUUCUUUUUCUUUUCCUUUUCUUCCCUUUCCCUUUCCUUUCCUUUCCUUUGUUUUCCUUUCCUUUCCUUUGUUUUCUUUCUUUUCUUUUUUCCUGCGACAGGGUCUCCCUCUGUUGCCAAGGCUGAAGGUCAGUGGCACUGUAACAGCUCA
rnacentral:lncRNA from 1 species